AGCGCAGAGCCAUAGAGAGAGAGAGUUGCGUCAACUCCGUUCACUCCAAUGGACCAGUUUUUUACAGCAAUGGCGGACCGUGGAGCCUGUCAAUAGUUCCCGGAAGUUAGCAGCAAAUACUAUCAGCACAGUGAAGCUGGAGCAGGAUACACCAUGUGUGAUCCACUUUUACAGGGUUCAUUCUUCCGAACUACACAAGUAAACCCCAUUUUAUGUAAUAUGUGCUGAUUCUUUGGUUUAUUUACAUGUGCAAUGUACUAUUUUCCUUUAGUUGAUUUACAUGUGUUCUGUACUUUGUUUUUCUGUAUGUAGCCUCUCUAUAUUCUGAUAUCAGUCUUUAAAGUUAUAUAUCAUCUCAUGUUUGUUGUAAAAAAUAAUAAAGCUGUUGCAAAUAA